AUUACCGCGGCUGCUGGCACGUAGUUAGCCGGUGCUUAUUCUUCCGGUACCGUCAUCCUCCCGCCGUAUUAGGACAGAAGUUUUCUUUCCGGACAAAAGUGCUUUACAACCCGAAGGCCUUCUUCACACACGCGGCAUUGCUGGAUCAGGCUUUCGCCCAUUGUCCAAAAUUCCCCACUGCUGCCUCCCGUAGG
rnacentral:rRNA from 1 species